UGUAACUUUAACCAAAAGUUUCACAGUUUGUGAUCCCUACCUCUUUGAUGUUCCGCCUCAUAGAGUUUCCUCUUAAAUAACCUGCCAUUGUACCAAGCGACGAAACUCCAUUAAACAAAAGGAGACAAAAAAGAAGUUGCGGUGAUGAAACUCCAUUAGACAAAAGAAGAAGCGACGAAACUAAUUGCUCGUAUUUUUGACAAUGGAACCAGCUUGAUACAAGAAUAUCUUCUGGAAAUUGGAUGUUAAUGAAAAAUCAGGACAUCCCUGCUGGUUCAGUAGACUGUGGAAUAGACACAUUGACGGUAUUUGAAUAUUAACUGCUGUUGUAUCUGAAAAGGUGUCAUCCAAAUGGUUUAAAAAUGAUGAAGAUCCUAAAGGUCACCAGGUAAUGACCUAUGUUAUAUACAGUAGAAGAUGAGGAGCUGACAGAUGGCCUCUACAACUACCUGAUGAAGUUCUGUCAAGAGCCGUAGGCACUUUUGAAAUGAUCGACACCCCGAGUUCUCAUCAUUCUGGAUGUGCUGAUGCCAGAUGCUCAUUUGUCUUCAGUGAAUCUCUAAUGAGUACAGAGAGUGUCUCUAUGAGUAAGAAGCAGAAGGUCUGUUCAUUGAUGGACCAGCAGACAGUGAGUGGUACGUCAUGUGGUGUUGGGGAGCAGACAGUCCUUUCUUUUUAUUUUCAGCAUCAUUAUUCUGUUAAUCAGAAUAUCAUUUUAUUUGUAGUGAAUUUAGACAA